CGGGGUGUAGCGCAGCCCGGUAGCGCACUCGCUUUGGGAGCGAGUGGUCGCCGGUUCGAAUCCGGCCACCCCGA
rnacentral:tRNA from 1 species